GCCAUCACUCACUUUGAACUGGACUGUGUGUUUACAGGUAGUUGCAACAGCGGGAUUUUAGCUUAUUAGAAUGCAUUCGCCAAAAGCCACAAAAUACAGCUGAACGGAUUUCUACAAAUACCACAGGAGUCUCUUGCAUUUGGGAACUUUACAGUCCUAUUGGUCAAACAACCAUGAAAAGGCUGAUCCAUGGCAUCCAUGGGGGGACAGAUUGGCAGAGCUGUCUAGGCUACAGGGCAGCAGCUGAGCAGACAGGGGUAGCUGAUCGCUCCUUGAUACACUGGCUCACCGUCACAGCACUCACGUGCAAUGCUUUCAUUGCCCUGUAAAAGAUGCAGCAGCAGCUUCAUAGUAAUGCAGAUGUGGGAUCUUAAAUUGAUCACUCUGUUGUUGCUGAGAAUCUUCCUGAGCCACAGGAAAUGCAGUUUUCCCGGUGUUGACCUCUCUGCCUGCCCUGUCCCUGAGCCUGCCUGUCGUCUUGUACCUUUGCCCCACUACUCUGGAUUACCGACCUCUGCCUGACCUGACCCUGAGCCCACCUGCUGUUCCUGUGUCUUACACCCUCUCUGGAUUAUAGGCCCCUGCCUGCCUUGACCUGUCGUUUGCCUGCCCCUGUUGUAUUAAACAUUAUUACUUCGACA